AAGUCGUAACAAGGUAACCGUAGGUGAACCUGCGGUUGGAUCAUUAAUAAAAGACGGACUUUAGAGUCCCCUUUAAACGCUAGUGCCUCGUAAAAAGGGCCUAGUUAACCCAUAUGUGAACCGUUUACUUGGUGGGAUUACUUUCGAGUUGCCUACCAGUAAAUAUUAUUUAACCCCGUUUUUAAACCAAGUCUUAUCGAAUGUAAAAAUUUGAAACAACUUUUGACAACGGAUCUCUUGGCUCUC
rnacentral:misc_RNA from 1 species